UUCUGUAGCGAUACAGAGGAAGACCUAGUGGCGAACGGGUGAGGAACACGUGAGGAACCUGCCCCGAACUUUGGGAUAACAGUUGGAAACGACUGCUAAUACCGAAUGCCGUUACGGAGUGGCAUCACUUUGUAACGAAAGAAUUUCGGUUCGGGAGGGCCUCGCGGCCUAUCAGCUAGUUGGUGGGGUAACGGCCUACCAAGGCAUCGACGGGUAGCUGGUCUGAGAGGAUGAUCAGCCACACUGGGACUGAGACACGGCCCAGACUCCUACGGGAGGCAGCAGUGGGGAAUCUUGUGCAAUGGGCGAAAGCCUGACACAGCCACGCCGCGUGCGGGAAGAAGGCCUUCGGGUUGUAAACCGCUUUCAGCAGGAACGAAAAUGACGGUACCUGCAGAAGAAGAUGCGGCCAACUACGUGCCAGCAGCCGCGGUGAUACGUAGGCAUCAAGCGUUGUCCGGAUUUAUUGGGCGUAAAGAGCUCGUAGGCGGUUCAGCAAGUCGGGUGUGAAAACUCUGGGCUUAACCCAGAGCCUGCACUCGAAACUGCUGUGACUAGAGUUCGGUAGGGGAGCAGGGAAUUCCUAGUGUAGCGGUGAAAUGCGCAGAUAUUAGGAGGAACACCAAUGGCGAAGGCACUGCUCUGGGCCGAUACUGACGCUGAGGAGCGAGAGCGUGGGUAGCAAACAGGAUUAGAUACCCUGGUAGUCCACGCCGUAAACGAUGGGCACUAGGUGUGGGUCUCUAACCAACGAGAUCUGCGCCGUCGCUAACGCAUUAAGUGCC
rnacentral:rRNA from 1 species